CAUCUUCCAUAUUGGUAUUUUUCUCUGGGAAAAGUUUGUGAUAUUUCAAUUUUUCAAGAGAGAACUUGUUUUCAUCGUUGUGAUAAUUAGUUGUGCAAUGGAUUUUAUCGAACGGGAGUUCAUUACAAACACACAGUUUCAAUAUUAGAUGCCAUAGCAAAUCAAAGAUCAUAUAAUAGAAUAAGUCAAAAAACCCAAAUAUGGAAAAAGAAAGAGCUGAAGAAAUGGUGAUUUGAGCACCUAUGCUUUCUCAUAGGUGUAUUUGGAGGUUUCCAUAUUAGAUGCCAUAGCAAAUCAAAGAUCAUAUAAUAAAAUAAGUCAAAAAACCCAAAUAUGGGAAAAGAAAGAGCUGAAGAAAUGGUGAUUUGAGCACCUAUGAUUUCUCAUAGGUGUUUUUUGAGGUUAACUACAUCAGAAAGAUCAAGACAGUUGGAAAUGGCUAUUCAUAUUAUGGAAACUUUUUCUCACAGAGCUUGAUAAUCAGGUAAAAUGCUGGAAGAUUAUUUGAUGUAUGAUAACAACAAGAGAUCCCAAGCACCAAUAUAUUUUAUAAUUCUGGAAAAGAAUGCAUUUGACCCAAUUUUUGAAUAUUUAUUUUUUGUUUUUACUGUUAAAUAUUCUUCCCAAACACAAUUAGAUUUUAAUUCUCUACAGAAAUUUAUGUAUAAUAUAGAAUGUAAAGUGACAUAUUAAUCACUUAGAAUUUGGUCGGAAAUUAUAAAGUAUUUAAUAGGCAUAAUCUAGAAACCAAAUGUAGAUCAAAUAUACCCAGAAUUACAAAAAACCUUGACCUACAUUAAGGUGACUUUCCCUUGCUUAUGAAAUGAAAUAGGGUUUAAGAUCCUACUUUUCUGUGUUAUUAUGGUGAUUCUGCCCUACAACCUACUCUUAUAUCAAAUAUUUCAACUGUCAA